rnacentral:rRNA from 4 species
UACAGAGGGGGCAAGCGUUAUUCGGAAUUAUUGGGCGUAAAGGGCGCGUAGGCGGCUUUUCAAGUGACGGGUGAAAUCCCUCGGCUUAACCGAGGAACUGCCUGUCAGACUGGAAGGCUUGAGACCGGGAGAGGUGAGUGGAAUUCCCAGUGUAGCGGUGAAAUGCGUAGAUAUUGGGAGGAACACCAGUGGCGAAGGCGGCUCACUGGACCGGAACUGACGCUGAGGCGCGAAAGCGUGGGGAGCAAACAGG